ACUACGCCUCCCACAUCGUCCAGUUGCGUAACAGAUGAAUAUAUUAUAAGCAAAGACAGGGCGUAUGUUGGUUGUCUCUUCGGAGACAUCCGAUAAAAUUGGAACGAUACAGAGAAGAUUAGCAUGGCCCCUGCGCAAGGAUGACACGCACAAAUCGAGAAAUGGUCCAAAUUUUUUUCUUCCAACUGGGUUUUAUUUGUCUCUUCCCGGCAGCUUAGUUUUUUCUUUUUAUUUUUUAAUUCUGGGAUCGAUGCAGUAAUCUGUGUUUAUAUGGUGUAUUCUCUUUUUUGAUAAUAUAUUGAUUGGCUAUGUGUUGAUGGGUCUUCUUCUUCCAUUCCAUCCUUGGAAAUUCUUUUAUUAGUGUUUCUGAAAUAGCUUUUAACUGGGUUUUAUUUGUCUCUUCUCGGCAGCUCAAUUUUUAAUUUUUACUUUUUAAAUUCUGGGAUUGCAGCUUAGUUUUUUUUUAUUUAUUUUUUAAUUCUCUUUUUUGAUAAUAUAUUGAUUGGUUAUGUGUUGAUGGGUCUUCUUCUUCCAUUCCAUCCUUGGAAAUUCUUUGAUUAGUGUUUUUGAAAUAGCUUUUAACAGAAUCUUUGAAUAUAUGAUGGCCUGUCCAACCAAUUGCUUCUUUCUCGGAUUCUGCAAUAAUGUUGGUUGUGGCUUGUAAUAUCUCUGUGUUAAUUAGCCUUGAUUUAUGUGCUUUUACAUGGCAAGAAUUAUUAGCGUAGUGGGAUUCUUUCUACCUUUAGAUUGCAUUAUCUUUUAUUUGUGCUUCUGAAAUAGCUUUAAAUCAUCCCUCAAAAACCAGCUGAAUGGACAGUGGCCUUUGUGCACUCAAUUGGUAAACUCAUUCUGUAUCUCAUUCCCAAAAGUUUCUGUUAAUUGGUUUUUUCUUGUUUCUGUUCAAGUAACCAUUAAUUAUAAGUUGUUUGUUUUGCUUCUAGUUCUUUUCAAAGCGCCAGAAUAUUUAAAACUAGCAAUUCUUAAGUAAAUUUAACUUAAUCGUGUUAUACUAAUAAUAAUUGGAAUACUUCAGUUACGGAGAAUGUCACAUUUCAUCUUUGCUCGAGGAAUUUUUGAUUGUGUAAGUGAUAUCACAAGAUUGUUAUAAACAGUAAAAGACUGUAGUUAGUUGUUUCUUGCUCGGUCAGAGAGUUUGAGCAAUAAUUCUCCAUCUCUUUUCUCACUACUAGACUUCUUGAAUAUGGACUAACUUUUACAUUUGCUCUCUAAUGGGGCAUAAAUUGAAGAUAAUUUGGGCACAGUUAGGCCUUGUGGAAAGAUUUCAAAUGCCUUUAAAUUACAGAUAGGUUUUGUUUUUCUUUCACAGGGCAUCAUGGGAAGAAGAUAUUGUUUUCAGUGGCGUUGAUAUUUGAUUGAUUAUAUUCACUUGAGUUAGCGGAAAAGAUUAAAGGAUGGGCAUAAUAGAGAAUGUUUCAAGGUCACUGCUUUGCAUCUUUUCUUUGUGAUGAAUAUUUAAUUCAUAUCAUGGAGAUCCAGGUUAUCUUUACUCUUUUAUUUUCCUUUGUGUUCAUUUAUUUUUAAUUACGAGAAUAAAGCUUUAAUUUGGCGAAGAAUCAAAACUUUAGUUGGUGGUUA